CGCCCCACUCAUGUAAAAAGAUGUUAUCCCGUUGUAUAUAAGUUAAAUUCCGUUAAUAUUACUCCUGCUAACUGGUCCCACCUAAUGGAAAUCGGUGAAAUCUAGAUAAAUAUAUUAUUAACCAGGAUGAAUUUAGUAAUGCCAACUCUCCCCACUUAUGGAAAAAGAUGUUAUCCCGUUGAAUACAAGUUAAAUUCCUUAUAUUGCAUUAUGAUACAAUUAACAGGUU
rnacentral:lncRNA from 1 species